AAAAUUGUCCAACAAUCACUUACGUGUCUGAGCAAACAAUUUUGUGCCUGAUAUUUAGUAAUUAGUACACAACUUGAGGGUCUGGCGGUCUGGCUGAGUCUUAAAAAAUUCGUAAGGUUUCAAUCGUGUGAAUGAUUUAACUUCUACAAUGUGAUGCUGAAGAGAACAUCGAUGGAUAUCAAAGUUGAUUACGGAUGCAAAGGGAAGAAAGAAGAGGAAAUUCAGCAUUUUAUUUAAUAACAAAUCCAGAACACUGCAUACACAAGUACAUUGUCAAAAUACCAACAAAUGCAUGCCAAAAAAAUAAAAAUAAAAUAGGACCCCUCGCCCCACUCCUUCCUCACAUACUCCUUCCUCACAUAUAAAAACAGGAAGACAAAAAAAUAAAAAUAAAAUAGGACCCCUCGCCCCACUCCUUCCUCACAUAUAAAAACAGGAAGAAAAAAAAAAAAAGGGCCAAUGUUACAAAAAUCCUUCCCAAUAAACAGUGGCAAUGACACAAAUUAAUUAAGCAGCAGAUACUGAGUGUAUUUUUGCAUCAUUAUCUUCA
rnacentral:lncRNA from 1 species